AUUGAACGCUGGCGGCAGGCCUAACACAUGCAAGUCGAGCGGAUGAAGGGAGCUUGCUCCUGGAUUCAGCGGCGGACGGGUGAGUAAUGCCUAGGAAUCUGCCUGGUAGUGGGGGAUAACGUCCGGAAACGGGCGCUAAUACCGCAUACGUCCUGAGGGAGAAAGUGGGGGAUCUUCGGACCUCACGCUAUCAGAUGAGCCUAGGUCGGAUUAGCUAGUUGGUGGGGUAAAGGCCUACCAAGGCGACGAUCCGUAACUGGUCUGAGAGGAUGAUCAGUCACACUGGAACUGAGACACGGUCCAGACUCCUACGGGAGGCAGCAGUGGGGAAUAUUGGACAAUGGGCGAAAGCCUGAUCCAGCCAUGCCGCGUGUGUGAAGAAGGUCUUCGGAUUGUAAAGCACUUUAAGUCGGGAGGAAGGGCAGUAAGUUAAUACCUUGCUGUUUUGACGUUACCAACAGAAUAAGCACCGGCUAACUUCGU
rnacentral:rRNA from 1 species